GACGAACGCUGGCGGCGUGCUUAACACAUGCAAGUCGAACGGAAAGGCCCUGCUUUUGUGGGGUGCUCGAGUGGCGAACGGGUGAGUAACACGUGAGCAACCUGCCCUUGACUUUGGGAUAACUUCAGGAAACUGGGGCUAAUACCGGAUAGGAGCUCCUGCUGCAUGGUGGGGGUUGGAAAGUUUCGGCGGUUGGGGAUGGACUCGCGGCUUAUCAGCUUGUUGGUGGGGUAGUGGCUUACCAAGGCUUUGACGGGUAGCCGGCCUGAGAGGGUGACCGGCCACAUUGGGACUGAGAUACGGCCCAGACUCCUACGGGAGGCAGCAGUGGGGAAUAUUGCACAAUGGGCGGAAGCCUGAUGCAGCAACGCCGCGUGCGGGAUGACGGCCUUCGGGUUGUAAACCGCUUUCGCCUGGGACGAAGCGUGAGUGACGGUAAUGGGUAAAGAAGCACCGGCGAACUACG
rnacentral:rRNA from 1 species